AAAUGGCGUCACGGACAGACUCGCUCCUGAUUGGGGACUUUGACAACGGAGGCGGAGCACAAGGAGCUGCGAAUCCAAACAACUUGUGAGGCUCUGUCUCUACCGCUUCUUGCUUGUGUUUGAUUUCGGUGUUUUAUUUUCUUUUUGUUUUUGUUGUUGUUUUGAGAGUGUGUUCAACGUCGGUCCCUGUAGUCCAUGUUGACCUAGAGAUCGCAGCCUCUGGAACAUUGGGUUAACUAGGGCGCACUCCUAGGCCCAAUUGAGCCUGCAUCACAGUGAAGACAGAAGCGUGUGCCUCCACUGAUCCAGCGAAGCUUCAAGCAGGCAGGAGUGCAUCAGGAUUUGCAUCCUAUGUACUGACAGAGAGCAUUCCUAAACUCUCAUGAAUGCUUCCUGGUGCAUCACUGUUGUAGGGCUGCUGGACAUGGACUGCACCAUUCAAAACCUCUGUGUCCUCAUCUUCGUAGACAAAAGGAGCUCUGUUGAGUGUUGAGACAGAAUAUGAGGUUUGACCAUCGGACAGACUUCUGGAACCUUCCUUCUGCUGAUCACCAACUGGAGGACCCCCUGUGUGCUGUUUGUUGUUUGUUUGUUUGUUUGUUUGUUUGUUUAAAUCCAACCUAUUUUAUUAUUUGGCAACUUCACAUAAUGCACCCUGAAAACACACACUUCCUAGUUCUCCCAGGUCCACCCUCAAACCUUUGUGACCUCCCCACAGAAGAAGAAGGAGAAGGAGCAGGAGGAGAAAGAAGGAGAAAAACCAAGUCUAAUUUAUGUUGUCCAUAUACUCACUGGAGCAUGGUCAGUGCUGACUGUUUUAAAGAGAUAUUAUAUUAGCAUUGGGUUUAUGGCUCAGUAGUAUUGCGACUGCCCAGCAUGUGUGAAGGCCUGGGGUGAAGCCCCAGUAUCUAUGAUAUUGAUCUGGAUAUGAAUAUAGACAUAGGGGUUGGGGAUUUAGCUCAGUGGUAGAGCGCUUGCCUAGGAAGUGCAAGGCCCUGGGUUCGGUCCCCAGCUCCGGAAAAAAAGAAAAAAGAACCAAAAAAAUGAAUAUAGACAUAAAUAUAGGCAUCGUCUGUCCUGUUAAGGUGGGCGUAAUGAUAUUAGCAGACAAGUUUGGCCCACAAGUAACUUAAAUUCUACUGGGAGGCUGAAAAAUAAAAUCUGAAGAAAAAAAUCAUAAAAUCCCAAAUUGGAAUCAAUCAUGAAAGAAUAAAAAGGAUUCCUUGAGAAUUUGUGGCAGUCACUAA